UGAGCAGGACAAAUGAUCGCGGCCGCUAGUCCCGUAAGGGCGCGGGUGAGGAAAGUCCGGGCUUCGUAGGGCAGGAUACCGGAUAACGUCCGGCGGAGGUGACUCCCGGGAAAGUGCAACAGAAAACAACCGCUCUUUAAGAGUAAGGGUGAAAAGGCGGUGUAAGAGACCACCGUGCAGAUGGUAACAUCUGUAGCCAUGUAAACCCUAUCCGAAGCAAGACCAAAAAGAAAACUAUGGGCCGGCCCGGUCCGUUUUCAGGUGGGUCGCUUGAGGCUGUCGGUAACGGCAGUCCUAGAUAGAUGAUCAUUCUCGACAUAACCCGGCUUACAGGCCUGCUCAUACA
rnacentral:RNase_P_RNA from 1 species